UACGUAGGGUGCAAGCGUUUGUCCGGAAUUAUUGGGCGUAAAGAGCUCGUAGGCGGUUUGUCACGUCUGCUGUGAAAACUGGAGGCUCAACCUCCAGCUUGCAGUGGGUACGGGCAGACUAGAGUGCGGUAGGGGAGAUUGGAAUUCCUGGUGUAGCGGUGGAAUGCGCAGAUAUCAGGAGGAACACCGAUGGCGAAGGCAGAUCUCUGGGCCGUAACUGACGCUGAGGAGCGAAAGCGUGGGGAGCGAACAGG
rnacentral:rRNA from 1 species